CAUAAACUUGAGACCCAGGAUCAUUUGUAUUAAUAUGAAAAUAUACCUUCCAUGGGAUUUCAUUAGUCUGUUAGAAGGCUUUGGUAUGGUCAUGUAUGUGUCACAGUGGUCCUAGCAGAAAUUAGGUAACAGAUCACAAUCUAAAGGCAGAAAUGCAACAGGCUCUCCUUUCAGGUUUGAGAUACUGUGAUUAAUACUACCGUAAAGAGAGAAUCUUAUGGUUCCUCAUUGAAGUAUUUGUGAACCAUGGAAACCUGAAAUCCUGGAUGUAGCCUGGGAGAACAACUGAAUAUGAUAAUUCCACCAUUGCUAGAAACUUAGGUUGGUUGAAAUUGUGCUGCUAUUACAUAAGCCAUUCAUCUUUUCAAAGAUCGAGUUGUGCAAGUGGCUGUCUAUAAAGAAGGCUAUAAAGAGCAAAGUUGAGGGCCUUCACAGAUGGAAAAAGUUGGUGCAUACUUUUAGAAUAGUGUAAUCCUGGAAAUUAACCUGCAUUUGAAGUUAGCUUGCAGUCAGAUUUUGUAGGAUGUAAACGACAAUGACAAUCACUUCCCAACUACAACAUAUCAACAGAUUGUGAAUAUCUUUCUUUACCAUCUGUCCCCCCUCCCCCUCCCCCUCCAUUUCUGUUUUAAAAAGAAAGAUAAAGGUCAAAUUCACACCUAAUUAUCAGCAACGUUCUGAUAGAAGCAACACCUUAUAGAUAGUAUCCACCUGAUAUCUCAUUAUUG
rnacentral:lncRNA from 1 species